UAUUCCUUUUACUAAAAACUCACUUCCAUACAUGAAAGAAACAUGUAAAUCGGUUUUGGAAAACAUCAACACAUCUUGGAAUUCUUUAUAUGAUACGCCGUUUUUAAAGGUUUUGUCAAAAUUACCCUCAACCAAUUUAGUAGAAAAGUUAUCUUCUGCAGAUAAAAAAAAAAACUUCGAAAAUCCCACAGGAAGUUAAAGGCGACAAUUGAAAAUCAUUGGGAAAAAUAUAGCAAAGAUACCAAUACAUUGUUUGGUGUUCGUCAAUCAAAAUCAGCUUAUUUAAAGAUUCGCUCAAGCCUUCACUUUUAAUCUAAAAAAGAUGCUGUUAAACGAACGACAUGCUUUACGAGCAAUGCUAUUGGUCAAAAGAGAAAAAGACAUUCACCGAACCCUAACAACAUUGAUUUCAAUAAAGUUGAAAUGUUAAAUGAAGUACAGAAAAUGAAAAAAGGCUCAGAAAUUAAUCUCUCGGCUCUUGCAAAGAAAUACAAAAUUGAUGGAUUAAACGGUAAUAUGGUUGUCCGUGAGUUCCUGGAACAAAAUAAUGUUGAUAUAACCACCUUUAGUAGUACUAA